AUUGAACGCUGGCGGCGUGCCUAACACAUGCAAGUCGAGCGGUAACAGGUGUAGCAAUACAUGCUGACGAGCGGCGAACGGGUGAGUAAUGCUUCGGAAUCUGCCCAUGUAGUGGGGAAUAACCAGCCGAAAGGUUGGCUAAUACCGCAUACGACCUACGGGUGAAAGCAGGGGAUCGCAAGACCUUGCGCUAUUGGAUGAGCCGAAGUCGGAUUAGCUGUUGGUAGGGUAACGGCCUACCAAGGCGACGAUCCGUAGCUGGUCUGAGAGGACGACCAGCCACACUGGGACUGAGACACGGCCCAGACUCCUACGGAGGCAGCAGUGGGGAAUAUUGACAAUGGGGGCAACCCUGAUCCAGCGACGCCGCGUGUGUGAAGAAGGCCUGCGGGUUGUAAAGC
rnacentral:rRNA from 1 species